GUCACCAACAAGAAACUUCUGGAGAGGCAGCUAAGACAUGGUCGACUUGGAAAGAUCAAUAUCUCAUUGUCGGCACUGGGUCAAGCUGUCGUAGCCCCACAGGUGUGCAGUAAACCCAGAGAAACCACAGAAACGGUGUUGAACCCAGCACCUUCAAUGUCUGGUGACACUGUCCCUACAGAUCCUCAGGAAGGAGUUGACAACAAGAAAGCCAAUAGAAGGUCAACAGAUGCAACUUUUCCUGACCUGUGUGGACCACCGUGCGAAGCUCUGACAAAGCCUGAGAACAUUUUGGCCAGCCGUUCAUCGUGGUGUUUUGUACCGCACCCUGGCCAACAA